ACGGAAGGCAGCAGCUAAGAAUAUUCCGCAAUGGACGAAAGUCUGACGGAGCGACGCCGCGUGGAUGAUGAAGGCCGGAAGGUUGUAAAAUCCUUUUGAAUGAGACGAAUAAGCAGGUCAGGGAAUGGGCUUGUGGUGACGGUAUCAUUUGAAUAAGCAACGGCUAAUUACGUGCCAGCAGCCGCGGUAACACGUAAGUUGCGAGCGUUGUUCGGAAUUAUUGGGUGUAAAGGGCAUGUAGGCGGUUCUGCAAGCUUGGUGUGAAAUCCCGGAGCUUAACUCCGGAACUGCAUUGAGAACUGCAAGACUAGAAUUACUGAAGGGCAACUGGAAUUCCAAGUGUAGGGGUGAAAUCUGUAGAUAUUUGGAAGAACACCAAUGGCGAAGGCAAGUUGCUGGCAGAUAAUUGACGCUGAGGUGCGAAGGUGCGGGGAGCAAACAGGAUUAGAUACCCUGGUA
rnacentral:rRNA from 1 species